rnacentral:lncRNA from 10 species
CAUAUCCAUUCUGUGAAAUACUGGGUAGCCAUUGAAAGAAAUGAAGUAGAACGCUAUCUACUUAAGCCGGGCGCAGGUUGCUCACGCCUGUAAUCCCAGCACCUUGGGAGGCUGAGGCGGGUGGAUCACCUGAGGUCAGGAGUCCUAGACCAGCCUAACCAACAUGGAGAAACUCCGUUUCUACUUUAAAAAAAUACAAAAUGAGCCGGGCGUGUUGGCGCAUGCCUGUAAUUCCAGCUACUUGGGAGGCUGAGGCAGAAUUGCUUGAACCCUGGAGGCGCAGGUUGUGGUAAGCCAAGAUCGCACCAUUGCACUCCGGCAUGGGCAACAAGAACGAAACCCUGCCUCAAAAAAAAAAAGAACUAUAUCUACUUAAAUAAGUAGAGCGUAUUUAAUAAUAAGUAAUAAAUAUGAAUAUAUAUAUAAUAGAAAAAUUGUGCUAAAUUUUAUAAUAUAGAUGAUACACAUGCAGAAAAGUAUAUAUCAUUUGAGCUUAUUUGCAUAUAAAAAGAGCUAUGUAUAAAUAGCUAUGUGACUUUAACUGCACAGAAAGUUUCUAGAUCCCUCAAGAAGCUCAUUAUAUCUAGGGAGUGGGACUGGAGGACCAGGGAACUUUUGCUUUCUCCUUUGAUAUUGUUUUGAGUCUCCUACUAUGAGUAUGUAUUUUUAUUUAUUUAUUUAGCGACAAAGAGUCUCACUUUGUCACCCAGGAUGGAGUGCAGUGGUGUGAUCUCAGCUCACUGCAACCUCUGCCUCCUGGGUUCAUGCAAUUCUCGUGCCUCAGUCUCCCGAGUAGCUGGGACUACAGGUACGCUCCAUCACGCCUGGCUAAUUUUUGCAUUUUUAGUAGCGACAGGGUUUC